ACCAGGCAUGGUAGGGUAUGCCUGUAAUCCCAGUGGCUUGGGAGGUGGAGGCAGGAGGAUUGCAAGUUCAAAGCCAGCCUCAGCAACUUAGCAAGAUCCUAAGCAACUUAGCAAGACCCUGUCUCUA
rnacentral:sRNA from 1 species